CAUAUCAAUAAGCGGAGGAAAAGAAACCAACAGGGAUUGCCCCAGUAGCGGCGAGUGAAGCGGCAAGAGCUCAGAUUUGAAAUCGUGUUUCGGCACGAGUUGUAGAGUGUAGGCCGGAGUCUCUGCGGAACACAGUGUCCAAGUCCCUUGGAACAGGGCGCCUGAGAGGGUGAGAGCCCCGUGGGGCGCUGUGUGAAGCUCUGAGGCCCUGCUGACGAGUCGAGUUGUUUGGGAAUGCAGCUCUAAGUGGGUGGUAAAUUCCAUCUAAGGCUAAAUAUUGGCGAGAGACCGAUAGCGAACAAGUACUGUGAAGGAAAGAUGAAAAGCACUUUGAAAAGAGAGUGAAACAGCACGUGAAAUUGUUGAAAGGGAAGGGUAUUGGGCCCGACAUGGGGAGUGCGCAUCGCUGUCUCUUGUAGGCGGCGCUCUGGGCGCUCUCUGGGCCAGCAUCGGUUCCCGCUGCGAGAGAAUGGGUGCCGGAAAGUGGCUCUUCGGAGUGUUAUAGCCGGCGCCAGAUGUCGCGUGUGGGGACCGAGGACUGCGGCUUCUGUCUCGGAUGCUGGCACAACGGCGCAAUACCGC
rnacentral:rRNA from 1 species